UGGCUACUGUCUGGGAUCC
rnacentral:piRNA from 1 species